AUUGAACGCUGGCGGCAGGCCUAACACAUGCAAGUCGAGCGGAUGAAGGGAGCUUGCUCCUGGAUUCAGCGGCGGACGGGUGAGUAAUGCCUAGGAAUCUGCCUGGUAGUGGGGGAUAACGUCCGGAAACGGGCGCUAAUACCGCAUACGUCCUGAGGGAGAAAGUGGGGGAUCUUCGGACCUCACGCUAUCAGAUGAGCCUAGGUCGGAUUAGCUAGUUGGUGGGGUAAAGGCCUACCAAGGCGACGAUCCGUAACUGGUCUGAGAGGAUGAUCAGUCACACUGGAACUGAGACACGGUCCAGACUCCUACGGGAGGCAGCAGUGGGGAAUAUUGGACAAUGGGCGAAAGCCUGAUCCAGCCACGCCGCAUGUGUGAAGAAGGUCUUCGGAUUGUAAAGCACUUUAAGUUGGGAGGAAGGGCAGUAAGUUAAUACCUUGCUGUUUUGACGUUACCAACAGAAUAAGCACCGGCUAACUUCGUG
rnacentral:rRNA from 1 species